GCAGCACCCAGGCAAGUGGUGACGAUACCCCUCAAGCUUCAGGCCAAUGUCUGCUGCUGCACGGCUGGGUGACCUCGGCCAACACAGGCCCCUGCCCUAAUCCAUCCUGCCCCGGCACAGCUGUGUUCUCCAUAGCUCCUUCUGGCAGACUCCUGUAAGGUUUGCCCACUGCUGAGCGAGACCCUCACACAUCCCCCACACGGCCACACUGCUCAACUGUGAUGGGCCCGGUGGCUGAUGGCUCCCAUGCUGCAUGUACAGGGAAGGAGACACCCUCUAAAUAGAGAGCUGGCACACGAUCCCACUUCUGGCCACCCAAGAGAGGCAUCACACAUCCCAUCGGAAUCUGUGUAGGUGCACACACGAGUGUGGUGUGGGGCUUCCGCAUUGGAGAUGCCUGUUACGCAGCAGCAGCAGCAGCAGCAGCAGCGGACUGAGACGUGGUGGCUGUGCGAAGACCUCAAAAAGGAAGCGAAUGUUCUGCUGCUCUCAUACUCCACAGUGCAUCCUUGUCCCAGGGACCCACACACUGGAGCAACACGCAGCCAAGAACAGGAGGGAGGCCUGACACAGGGGACCCAAACAAGAAAGCCAUACAGUAUCCAUGACAGGUCAUACCCAGGGUGGGAGAACACAGAAGGGAACGCAUGUGUUUGUUGGCGGAUGCCUUAAGCAGAGAAGACCUUCUCUGAGGGAUGUGAUGUUCUGGAACUGUGUAGAUUACCUGGCUGCAUAAUCUGAAGAUCACACAGGUGUGUAUAUCUUAAACAAGUGAUCCCUACAGUCUACCAAUUAUAGCUCAAGAUCCCAAAAUCAAAA
rnacentral:lncRNA from 1 species